UACAGAGGGUGCAAGCGUUGUUCGGAAUUAUUGGGCGUAAAGCGCGUGUAGGCGGCUUUGCAAGUCGGGUGUGAAAGCCCUCAGCUCAACUGAGGAAGUGCGCCCGAAACUGCAGAGCUUGAGUACCGGAGAGGAUGGUGGAAUUCCCCAAGUAGAGGUGAAAUUCGUAGAUAUGGGGAGGAACACCGGUGGCGAAGGCGACCAUCUGGACGGAUACUGACGCUGAGACGCGAAAGCGUGGGGAGCGAACAGG
rnacentral:rRNA from 1 species